UACAGAGGUCCCAAGCGUUGUUCGGAUUCACUGGGCGUAAAGGGUGCGUAGGUGGUCGGGUAAGUCCGAUGUGAAAUCUCCAGGCUCAACCUGGAAAUGGCAUUGGAUACUAUUCGGCUUGAGGAGUGGAGGGGGGGGACUGGAAUUCUCGGUGUAGCAGUGAAAUGCGUAGAUAUCGAGAGGAACACCAGUGGCGAAGGCGAGUCCCUGGACACUUCCUGACACUGAGGCACGAAAGCUAGGGGAGCAAACAGG
rnacentral:rRNA from 1 species